UGCUACAGCCAUAUCACCCUGCAGCCCAAGACCGGUUACUCACUGAAGCUAAGCAGGGCUGAGCCUGGUUAGUACCUGGAUGGGAGACCACUAGGGAACACUAGGUUGCUGUUGGAA
rnacentral:rRNA from 1 species